rnacentral:rRNA from 1 species
GACGAACGCUGGCGGCGUGCUUAACACAUGCAAGUCGAACGGAAAGGCCCUGCUUUUGUGGGGUGCUCGAGUGGCGAACGGGUGAGUAACACGUGAGUAACCUGCCCUUGACUUUGGGAUAACUUCAGGAAACUGGGGCUAAUACCGGAUAGGAGCUCCUGUUGCAUGGUGGGGGUUGGAAAGUUUCGGCGGUUGGGGAUGGACUCGCGGCUUAUCAGCUUGUUGGUGGGGUAGUGGCUUACCCAGGCUUUGACGGGUAGCCGGCCUGAGAGGGUGACCGGCCGCAUUGGGACUGAGGUACGGCACAGACGCCUACGGGAGGCAGCAGUGGGGAAUAUUGCACAAUGGGCGGAAGCCUGAUGAAGCAGCGCCGCGUGCGGGAUGGCGGCCUUCGGGUUGUAAACCGCUUUCGCCUGUAACGAAGCGUGAGUGACGGUAAUGGGUAAAGAAGCAACGGCUAACUACGUG